UGUAAAAAAAGUAAAAUAUAACUUUGUUAAAUAAUAAUUUUAUUUUCAAUACACAUUUAAUUGGUAUAAUCGAACAGGCCGAGGUUGAUAGAGGAAGAGGAAUGGCGGUAAUUCUUUUUCAUGUUGAAGCAAGCUUGGACAAUCUGGUGAGUGCAUGUUCAAGGGUUGAUAUAGUCCUUGGUGUGUUAGGGUGGUCCACAGGGUGUAGUUGGCCUAGUUUAGGCGAAAAUCAACACAUACGCGAAUGUUAGUUACUUGAUCGCGAACAGAUGCAGGGUAACAAGUUUUGUCGGUUCAGAAUAAAAACACAAUUCUUUCCUCAGUUGUUGUCUGUAGUUAUACACAUAAAUUUGUUGCACAAUGAUAACAAAAUAAUGUAGUAGAUGGAGGGGGAGUGUAUAUAAAAGAGAAUAGUAUAGGUGUACAUGUAUUUGGAAGGAUGAAAUAGUGAGAUGUAUACACAAAGUAUUGCAGCUUUGAUAUUUCAAGUAUCACCAAGUCAGUGUAUUGUUGCGAUACAA